rnacentral:rRNA from 1 species
UACGAAGGGGGCUAGCGUUGUUCGGAAUUACUGGGCGUAAAGCGCGCGCAGGUGGUCUUUCAAGUCAGUGGUGAAAGCCCGGAGCUCAACUCCGGAAAUGCCAUUGAAACUGUAAGACUUGAGGAUGAGAGAGGUGAGUGGAGUUCCCAGUGUAGAGGUGAAAUUCGUAGAUAUUGGGAAGAACACCGGUGGCGAAGGCGGCUCACUGGCUCAUAUCUGACGCUCAGGCGCGACAGCGUGGGGAUCAAACAGG